GGUGUAAYUUGGUAGCACGAAGAUUUUUGAGUUCUUAGGAG
rnacentral:tRNA from 1 species